rnacentral:rRNA from 1 species
AUGUCUAUGAUGAGUGAACUCAAAUUCUUUCUCGGUUUGCAAAUCAAGCAAACUAAGGAAGGUACAUUUAUCUCUCAAACAAAGUACACCAAGGACUUAUUCAAGAAGUUCAAUAUGCCAGAAUGCAAAGGUAUGUCUACACCCAUGCCUACUAGUGGACAUAAUGAUUUAACCAAAGAUGGUGAACCUGUUGAUCAAAAAGUUUAUCGCUCUAUGAUUGGUUCAUUGUUAUACCUAUGUGCUUCACGUCCCGAUAUAAUGCUAAGUGUGUGCAUGUGUGCACGAUAUCAAGCUGCUCCUAAAGAUUGUGAUCUUAAGGCUGUGAAAAGGAUAGUGAGAUAUUUAAUCCAUACACCAAAUUUUGGCAUUUGGUAUCCCAAGAGGUCUUCCUUUGAUCUUGUUGGCUAUUUUGACUCGGAUUAUGCCGGAGACAAGGUUGAUAGAAAGUCCACUUCGGGUACUUGUCAAUUUCUUGGUAGAUCUCUUGUGUCUUGGUCUUCCAAGAAACAAAACUCGGUAUCCUUAUCCACCGCCGAAGCGGAAUACAUUGCCGCUGGUUCAUGUUGUGCUCAAUUACUUUGGAUGACCCAAACUCUUAAAGAUUAUGGGAUUUAUGUGAAACAUGUUCCACUGCUUUGUGACAAUGAAAGUGCUAUCAAAAUUGGUCAUAAUCCUGUACAACAUUCUCGAACUAAGCAUAUUGAAGUUCAUCAUCAUUUCAUUCGAGAUCAUGUCGCUAAGGGUGACAUCAAUCUUAAGCAUGUUCACACCGAUAAGCAAUUAGCGGAUAUAUUCACUAAACCUCUUGAUGAGAAAGUGUUUUGCAGGCUGAGAGGAGAAUUGAACAUCAUUGAUGCUUCGAACUUGGAGUAG